ensembl:lncRNA
GGAUUUGGGGGUGAAAAUCAGGGAUUUUGGGGUGAAAAUUUGAUUUAGGAUGAAAUUGGAGCAUUUUGGGGUGAAAUUUGGGGAUUUUGGGGUGAAAAUCAGAUUUGGGCUGGAAUUGGGGCAUUUUGGGGUGAAAUUUGUGGAUUUUGGAGCAAAAUUUGGGGAUUUGGGCACAAAAUUUAGGGAUUUAGGCUGGAAUUUGGGAUUUGGGGUGAAAUUUGGGGGGUUUGUGGCAAAAUUUGGGGAUUUUGGGGUGAAAAUCAGGGAUUUGGGGUGAAAUUUGGGGAUUUUGGGGAUUAAAUUUGGGGGUUUGGGGUGAAAUUUGAGGAUUUGGGCUGGAAUUUGGGGAUUUUGGGGUUGGGGAUUAAAUUUGGGGGUUUGGGGUGAAAUUUGAGGAUUUGGGCUGGAAUUUGGGGAUUUUGGGGCGAAAGUCAGGGAUUUGGGGUGAAAUUUGAGGAUUUUGGGGAUGAAAUUUGGGGAUUUUGUGGCAAAACUUGGGGAUUUUGGGGUGAAAUUUGGGGAUUUUGGGGAUGAAAUUUGUGGAUUUGGGGUGAAAAUCAGAGAUUUGGGCUGGAAUUUGGGAAUUUUGUAGCAAAAUUUGGGGAUUUUGGGGUGAAAUUUGGGGAUUUGGUGUGAAAUUUUGGGAUUUUGGGGUGAAAUUUUGGGAUUUGGGGCAAAAUUUGGGGAUUUUGGGGUGAAAAUCAGGGAUUUGGGGUGGAAUUGGGAGAUUUGGGGUGAAAUUUAGAGAUUUUGGGGCAAAAUUUGGCGAUUUGGGGUUGAAAAUCAGAUUUGGCGUGAAAUUUGAGGAUUUGGGGUGAAAUUUGGUGAUUUUGGGGAUGAAAUUUGGGGAUUUUGGGGUGUAAAUCAGGGAUUUGUGGUGAAAUUUGUGGAUUUUGUGGCAAAAUUUGGGGAUUUUGGGGUGAAAAUGAGGGAUUUGGGGUGAAAUUUGAGGAUUUGGGGUGAAAUUUGGUGAUUUUGGGGUGAAAUCUGGCGAUUUCCAAACCACCACGAGGACACAAAGCUCCCAACCAUCGCUUCUGUUCCCUUUCCCUCCGGAAUUGCAAAGCAGAGACAGCCCAGGACCCGCAGAAACACCCGGAACAACCCCAAAACUGCACGGGGGUCACCCAGGGGUCACCCGGGGGUCACCCAGGGGUCACCCAGGGGUCACCCAGGUGUCACUCAGGUGUCACUUGGUGCCACUCAGGUGUUCAGGUGUCACUCAGGUGUCAGGUGUCACUCAGGUGUCCAUCAGGGGUCACUCAGGUGUCACCCAGGUGUCAUUCAGGUGUCAGGUGUCACUCAGGUGUCCCUCAGGUUUUGUUCAGGUGUUGCUCAGGUGUCACUCAGGUGUCAGGUGUCAUUCAGGUGUCACCCAGGUGUCCCUCAGGGGUCACUCAGGUGUUGCUCAGGUGUCACUCAGGUGUCACCCAGGUGUCACUUAGGUGUCAGGUGUCAUUCAGGUGUCAUUCAGAUGUCGUUCAGGUGUCACCCAGGUGUCCUUCAGGUGUUGUUCAGGUCUUGUUCAGGUGUCACUCAGGUGUCACUUGGUGUCACUCAGGGUUCAGGCGUCACUCAGGUGUCACCCAAGUGUCCCUCAAGGGUCACUCAGGUGUCACUCAGGUGUCAGGUGUCAUUCAGGUGUCAUUCAGGUGUUGUUCAGGUGUCACCCAGGUGUCGUUCAGGUGUUGCUCAGGUGUCCUUCAGGUCUUGUUCAGGUGUCACUCAGGUGUCACUUGGUGUCACUCAGGGUUCAGGUGUCACUCAGGUGUCACCCAAGUGUCCCUCAGGGGUCACUCAGGUGUCACUCAGGUGUCAGGUGUCGUUCACAUGUCGUUCAGGUGUCACCCAGGUGUCGUUCAGGUGUCACUCAGGGUUCAGGUGUCACUCAGGUAUCACUUGGUGUCACAGGU